rnacentral:rRNA from 1 species
UACGAAGGGGGCUAGCGUUGCUCGGAAUGACUGGGCGUAAAGGGCGCGUAGGCGGUUUGUACAGUCAGGUGUGAAAUUCCCGGGCUCAACCUGGGGGCUGCACUUGAUACGUAUGGACUGGAGUGGGGAAGAGGGUCGUGGAAUUCCCAGUGUAGAGGUGAAAUUCGUAGAUAUUGGGAAGAACACCGGUGGCGAAGGCGGCGACCUGGUCCUUGACUGACGCUGAGGCGCGAAAGCGUGGGGAGCAAACAGGAUUAGAUACCCUGGUAGUCCACGCCGUAAACGAUGUGCGCUGGAUGUUGGGCGACGCAGUCGCUCAGUGUCGCAGCUAACGCGCUAAGCGCACCGCCUGGGGAGUACGGCCGCAAGGUUGAA